CAGGCCUUGGCCAGGCUGUGGAGGCAAGGCCCAGGAGGGGGGAAAGAAAGUAGGGGCAGAAGUGGCAGUGGGGGCAGAAGUGGCAGUGGAGAGAAGAGCUGCCUCUGCCUCUCCAAAAUAUAUCCCAGAGGGCUUUGGGGCAUUCCUGGGGGAUUCCGAUCGUGGAUCUCUGUAAUAAGUCAAUUGGCCUUUAGUCGUGGUACUUCCCUUCAAGUUCCAUCCAAGGGAUUAUACGAGUUUAAUCCUUUCUGAUUUCACGUGGAGGGCCAGGUGUUGGAGAAAAGGAAUGAGAUAAACAGUGUGUAGGCGACACUCAGAAACUGACAUAAGAAGGUUCCACUCGGAGACAGAAAGAAACACAUGCAGAGAAAGCUCAGUCUAAUAAUAAUGUUUGUUGGUGGAGGGAGCAUGUUAACCUAUUACGUUUCAUCUUGUCCUUCUGGGCUGAAGGCUACAAUUGUAGACUUAAAGAUUGCUGGUGGGGGUUAGGAGAGCGGGGAGGAAACUGUCAGAUUUUUAGAAGUCAGCCUCGGGUAUAGGGGACCUCCUUUUAUGCUAGUUGGUUCUAAACAUUUCGGCUGCCAGAAUACCUGCCGAAGAGAACCAUUCACACUGGAUAAAUAAUUCUUAGAUGUGUGUCGCAUCAUCGAGUGAUGUUUAGAAGACCAAAGCAUGUGUUCUUGAAGCCCGGAAGUCAGACUCCACUUCUAAUCACAAACCUCUUUACGAUCUGCAUUUAUGUAGGUUGGCUGUGUAUGUUUACACAGACACAUUAAACACUAGUUACCGAUGCUGCGGAACGACACAGCCCAAACCACGUCUGCAGGCAAGGGCACACAGUUCCCGUCCUUUUAAUGCAAUUGAAAGGAGAACGUUAAGUAUGUAUUGUGUUUCACUCCAAUGAGGACCUUACACUAAAAUGACAACAAGGCCAGAAUUUUUUGACGUGCACCUCCUGUGUAUAUAUUCACAGUAUUGUACUUGCUAAA